rnacentral:rRNA from 1 species
GAUGAACGCUAGCAGGAGGCUUAAUACAUGCAAGUCGAGGGGUAACGAUGGUGCUUGCACCAGGCGACGACCGGCGAACGGGUGAGUAACGCGUACAUAACCUACCUACAAGAGGGAGAUAGCCCUGGGAAACUGGGAUUAAUACCCCAUAUUAUUAUGAUUUAAAUUAUAAUGAAAGCUCCGGCGCUUGUAGAUGGAUGUGCGUCCCAUUAGCUAGUUGGUAAGGUAACGGCUUACCAAGGCGACGAUGGGUAGGGGGCGUGAGAGCGUGAUCCCCCACACGGGUACUGAGACACGGACCCGACUCCUACGGGAGGCAGCAGUAAGGAAUAUUGGACAAUGGGCGCAAGCCUGAUCCAGCCAUCCUGCGUGAAGGAUGACGGCCCUAUGGGUUGUAAACUUCUUUUAUGAGAGAAGAAAAGUAUUGAUUUAUCAGUAUCUGACGGUAUCUCAUGAAUAAGCACCGGCUAACUCCG